AUCUUUCUCUUGGCAAUGCCCCAUAGAUUCUCUAUGGGGUUCAGGUCAGGCGAGUUUGCUGACCAAUCAAGCACAGUAAUCCCACGGUCAUUGAACCAGGCUUUGGUGCUUUUGGCAGUGUGGGCAGGUGCUGGAAAAUGAAGUCAGCAUCCCCAUAAAGCUCGUCUGCGGAAGGAAGCAUGAAGUGCUCCAAAAUCUCCUGGUAGACAGCUGCGUUGACCCUGGACUUAAUGAAG
rnacentral:lncRNA from 1 species